GCUGAUCAAGGAUGACCACUUUUUAAUUUGCGACUGCUGGAUGAAGUUUGCGGAUAUGGGACUGAGAUCAGCU